UAAUCCAAGAAGAUAAGAUAACGAUGCAUAGACUAAAUUUAUUAACACACAAAUAUACAGGGGUAUAUAAAGAGAGUAUAAAACAUUUCACAUGGCCUCAAAUAAUUAUUUAAGUUCCACCCAAUGAGACAAGGUAGAUUAGCCGCAAGUGGAUUUGGAUUCCCUUUCACCCCCAUUAUUAUAGGUAUUGAUGAAAUUGUAAUUAGAAGUUUACUAGUUUAGAACAGUGGCACAUGUAGUAUUUAACCCAUGUAUUGUACUCCGUAAAUGUUUUACUGAAAUUAUUGGUUCAAGACUCAAGAGUGAUUAUCAUUUCUUUUUCUGAAAGACUAUUUCACAUUACCACUUUUCUAUUGGACCAUCUCUUCAAACUGGCACCUUUCUCAAUUUUGAGUUAGAAACUGGAUACAUGCUAUUAAUAAUACAUAUCCAUAUAUAGUGAACUUUUUGACUCAGACAAUAAGAAGUUCAUAUGAGCCAGACCCACCCAAGAACUGGACCACAAACAAGACCUAUUCCUAGAAAAACAACCAUGA
rnacentral:lncRNA from 1 species